rnacentral:rRNA from 1 species
ACUUCGUGCCAGCAGCCGCGGUAAGACGAAGGAUGCAAGCGUUAUCCGGAUUCAUUGGGUUUAAAGGGUGCGUAGGCGGACCUGUAAGUCAGUGGUGAAAUCUCUCAGCUUAACUGAGAAACUGCCAUUGAUACUGCAGGUCUAGAGUAUAGAUGACGUUGGCGGAAUAUGACAUGUAGUGGUGAAAUACUUAGAUAUGUCAUAGAACACCGAUUGCGAAGGCAGCUAACGAAACUAUAACUGACGCUGAGGCACGAAAGUGCGGGGAUCAAACAGGAUUAGAUACCCUGGUA